UACGGAGGGUGCAAGCGUUGCUCGGAAUUAUUGGGCGUAAAGGGUAGGUAGGUGGUCUCAUUUGUCUGGGGUGAAAGCCUUGAGCUUAACUCAAGAAGUGCCCCAGAAACGGUGAGACUCGAGUCUUGGAGAGGGAUGUAGAAUUCCAGGUGUAGCGGUGAAAUGCGUAGAUAUCUGGAGGAACACCGGUGACGAAGGCGGCAUCCUGGACCAUUACUGACGCUGAGUGAGCGAAAGCCAGGGGAGCAAACGGG
rnacentral:rRNA from 1 species